rnacentral:misc_RNA from 1 species
GAUGAAGAACGUAGCGAAAUGCGAUAAGUGAUGUGAAUUGCAGAAUUCAGUGAAUCAUCGAGUCUUUGAACGCACAUUGCGCCCCCUGGUAUUCCGGGGGGCAUGCCUGUCCGAGCGUCAUUGCUGCCCUCAAGCACGGCUUGUGUGUUGGGCCUCCGUCCUCCUCCCGGGGGACGGGCCCGAAAGGCAGCGGCGGCACCGCGUCCGGUCCUCGAGCGUAUGGGGCUUCGUCACCCGCUCUUGUAGGCCCGGCCGGCGCUUGCCGACACAUCAAUCUUUUUUCCAGGUUGACCUCGGAUCAGGUAGGGAUACCCGCUGAACUUAAGCAUAUCAAUAAGCGGAGA